UCCUACGGGGCGCAGCAGUGGGGGAUAUUGCACAAUGGGGGGAACCCUGAUGCAGCGACGCCGCGUGGGUGAAGAAGCGCCUCGGCGCGUAAAGCCCUGUCAGCAGGGAAGAAAAUGACGGUACCUGAAGAAGAAGCCCCGGCUAACUACGUGCCAGCAGCCGCGGUAAUACGUAGGGUGCAAGCGUUAUCCGGAUUUACUGGGUGUAAAGGGGGCGCAGACGGCGAUGCAAGCCAGGAGUGAAAUCCCGGGGCCCAACCCCGCGCCUCCGCUUGGAACUGCGUGGCUGGA
rnacentral:rRNA from 1 species